rnacentral:lncRNA from 1 species
UAUUCUACUGAAACAAAAGGCAAAUAAUAUGAUUUUAAAUCUUAAGUUCACACUACAACAAAAACGGUCUAUAUCGAUACUUUUAAAUGUAGGUAUAUGUCAAAAAAGUGCUGCUAGCUAAAAUUACUGAUACUUUUAAAAAGUGUUGCUAUAUGUGGAGUCGCUAGGUAUAUAGUGACAGUUAAAGAGCGUCGCUAUAACCUAAAAGAGUGCUGCUAAUUUACCAACACUUGUUUAAGCAUUUAGCAACCGCCGAAACUCUAUCUCGUUGGCUGUGGUGGCGGAGGAGGACGACAGUAAAGACUCUUCGUCUAGAAUUUCAGUGGAUUGAGUGAAGAGAGAAGAAAAGAUGGUAAUUAAUUUUUCUUUUUUUUUUCUUUUCUGUUUGUAAUCGGGCCAAAUAGACUAGGUAUGGUGGGUUGAGUAGAGUAAUCUUUUAUUUUUGGUUGGAUUGGGCUUUAUAUUUAGCCAUUAGUAGAUGUGUUUUUAAGUUUUAGCAUAAAUGGGACACUUACUCAAAAGUGUCUCAAACAUGUGUCCCUAUAACCUAAUUCUGUUGUAGUGUCAGAUUUUGUCGGAUCAUUGGCGCUAAUCACUAAUUUCACAAGUUCGAGCUGCUAAAAAUAUAUAACUUAUUUACUUAAAACGUACAGAUACAACGUUCACGGAUCUCGAUUAUAACUCGAUCCAACCAACCUCUUACCACUUCGACCUGACCUCCUGUCAUUUCAAACGUGACCUGACUCAAUCUGACUUAUCGUGAAAAAACAAGAUGCUAUCCCUUUUAAGCUGACAGUGCUGCAAU